GAUGAACGCUGGCGGCGUGCCUAAUACAUGCAAGUCGAGCGAACAGACGAGGAGCUUGCUCCUCUGACGUUAGCGGCGGACGGGUGAGUAACACGUGGAUAACCUACCUAUAAGACUGGGAUAACUUCGGGAAACCGGAGCUAAUACCGGAUAAUAUAUUGAACCGCAUGGUUCAAUAGUGAAAGACGGUUUUGCUGUCACUUAUAGAUGGAUCCGCGCCGCAUUAGCUAGUUGGUAAGGUAACGGCUUACCAAGGCAACGAUGCGUAGCCGACCUGAGAGGGUGAUCGGCCACACUGGAACUGGGACACGGUCCAGACUCCUACGGGAGGCAGCAGUAGGGAAUCUUCCGCAAAGGGCGAAAGCCUGACGGAGCAACGCCGCGUGAGUGAUGAAGGUCUUCGGAUCGUAAAACUCUGUUAUUAGGGAAGAACAAAUGUGUAAGUAACUAUGCACGUCUUGACGGUACCUAAUCAGAAAGCCACGGCUAACUACGUG
rnacentral:rRNA from 1 species